CAAUAGCGUAUAUUAAAGUUGUUGCGGUUAAAAAGCUCGUAGUUGGAUUUCUGCCGAGGACGACCGGUCCGCCCUCUGGGUGAGUAUCUGGCUCGGCCUGGGCAUCUUCUUGGAGAACGUAGCUGCACUUGACUGUGUGGUGCGGUAUCCAGGACUUUUACUUUGAGGAAAUUAGAGUGUUUCAAGCAGGCUUACGCCUUGAAUACAUUAGCAUGGAAUAAUAAGAUAGGACCUCGGUUCUAUUUUGUUGGUUUCUAGAGCUGAGGUAAUGAUUAAUAGGGAUAGUUGGGGGCAUUCGUAUUUAACUGUCAGAGGUGAAAUUCUUGGAUUUAUGAAAGACGAACUUCUGCGAAAGCAUUUGCCAAGGAUGUUUNCAUUA
rnacentral:rRNA from 1 species